rnacentral:sRNA from 1 species
GAUGUGACCGGCCCAUUGCCACUUCAGC